rnacentral:rRNA from 1 species
GAUGAACGCUGGCGGCGUGCCUAAUACAUGCAAGUCGAGCGAACGGACGAGAAGCUUGCUUCUCUGAUGUUAGCGGCGGACGGGUGAGUAACACGUGGAUAACCUACCUAUAAGACUGGGAUAACUUCGGGAAACCGGAGCUAAUACCGGAUGAUAUUUUGAACCGCAUGGUUCAAAAGUGAAAGACGGUCUUGCUGUCACUUAUAGAUGGAUCCGCGCUGCAUUAGCUAGUUGGUAAGGUAACGGCUUACCAAGGCAACGAUGCGUAGCCGACCUGAGAGGGUGAUAGGCGACACGGGAACUGAGACACGGACAAGACUACUAAGGGAGGCAGCAGUAGGGAAGCUUCCGCAAUGGGAGAAAGCAUGACGGAGCAACGCCGCGUGAGUGAUGAAGGUCUUCGGAUCGUAAAACUCUGUUAUUAGGGAAGAACAGAUGUGUAAGGAACUGUGCACAUCGUGACGGUACCUAAUCAGAAAGCCACGGCUAACUACGUG